rnacentral:lncRNA from 1 species
GAUUAUUAAAAAAGUUAUUUAAUGAGUGAGAAAAAUUUAUGAUAAAUAACGUUUUCGGCUCGGGAGUUGUAUCGUAUUUUAUCUCACUCAAAAUAAUCUGGAUUACAUUACAUUUUGAAGAUCUUCAGACUAUAAGACGGACGACAUUUUGGUAUUUCUGACUAAAAUCUACUAAUAAGUUGAUCAGAUUAUGAUGCAUCGCUGGCACGAAAAUAAUAUGAUAUCUUAGUCACUGGAUACCGUUAUCACGCAUAAUAACACUGUCAAUUUAUUUUCAUAUUAUCGAUACGUCAUCAUUCAAUAUGUUAAUCUAUAUUGUAGUACUUAAUUGCAACAAUCGAGCAAGUUUUAAAAAGAGAUUAUAAUAAAUUAAGGAUUCGGGGUCGAUCAAAUGAGGACCAAAAGUAUAAUUUAGCUAAAAUUCUACUCACAGAACAAAAUCCAAAAGUAGUUACAUCAGAUAAAUCAUAACCUACAUGUAUGACAAAAAUAACACCAACACA